rnacentral:rRNA from 1 species
AGUUUGAUCCUGGCUCAGAUUGAACGCUGGCGGCAUGCCUUACACAUGCAAGUCGAACGGUAACAGGUCUUCGGAUGCUGACGAGUGGCGAACGGGUGAGUAAUACAUCGGAACGUGCCCGAUCGUGGGGGAUAACGGAGCGAAAGCUUUGCUAAUACCGCAUACGAUCUACGGAUGAAAGCGGGGGAUCGCAAGACCUCGCGCGGACGGAGCGGCCGAUGGCAGAUUAGGUAGUUGGUGAGGUAAAGGCUCACCAAGCCGUCGAUCUGUAGCUGGUCUGAGAGGACGACCAGCCACACUGGGACUGAGACACGGCCCAGACUCCUACGGGAGGCAGCAGUGGGGAAUAUUGGACAAUGGGCGAAAGCCUGAUCCAGCAAUGCCGCGUGAGUGAUGAAGGCCUUAGGGUUGUAAAGCUCUUUUACCCGGGAUGAUAAUGACAGUACCGGGAGAAUAAGCUCCGGCUAACUCCGUGCCAGCAGCCGCGGUAA